CAGUCGCCGCGGUAAUACGAAGGGUGCAAGCGUUACUCGGAAUUACUGGGCGUAAAGCGUGUGUAGGUGGUUGUUUAAGUCUGUCGUGAAAGCCCUGGGCUCAACCUGGGAAUUGCGAUGGAUACUGGGCGACUAGAGUGCGGUAGAGGAUAGUGGAAUUUCCGGUGUAGCAGUGAAAUGCGUAGAGACCGGAAGGAACAUCUGUGGCGAAGGCGACUAUCUGGGCCAACACUGACACUGAGACACGAAAGCGUGGGGAGCAAACAGGAUUAGAGACCCCUGUAGUCCCUGUCUCUUAUAC
rnacentral:rRNA from 1 species